rnacentral:rRNA from 1 species
AGUGAACGCUGGCGGUAGGCCUAACACAUGCAAGUCGAACGGCAGCACAGUAAGAGCUUGCUCUUACGGGUGGUGAGUGGCGGACGGGUGAGGAAUACAUCGGAAUCUACUUUUUCGUGGGGGUUAACGUAGGGAAACUUACGCUAAUACCGCAUACGCCCUACGGGUGAAAGCAGGGGAUCUUCGGACCUUGCGCGAUUGAAUGAGCCGAUGUCGGAUUAGCUAGUUGGCGGGGUAAAGGCCCACCAAGGCGACGAUCCGUAGCUGGUCUGAGAGGAUGAUCAGCCACACUGGAACUGAGACACGGUCCAGACUCCUACGGGAGGCAGCAGUGGGGAAUAUUGGGCAAUGGGCGCAAGCCUGAUCCAGCCAUACCGCGUGGGUGAAGAAGGCCUUCGGGUUGUAAAGCCCUUUUGUUGGGAAAGAAAAGCAGCAGGUUAAUACCCCGCUGUUCUGACGGUACCCAAAGAAUAAGCACCGGCUAACUUCGUG